rnacentral:misc_RNA from 1 species
GAUGAAGAACGCAGCGAAAUGCGAUACGUAAUGUGAAUUGCAGAAUUCAGUGAAUCAUCGAGUCUGUGAACGCACAUUGCGCCCCCUGGUAUUCCGGGGGGCAUGCCUGUCCGAGCGUCAUUGCUGCCCUCAAGCACGGCUUGUGUGUUGGGCCUCCGUCCUCCUCCCGGGGGACGGGCCCGAAAGGCAGCGGCGGCACCGCGUCCGGUCCUCGAGCGUAUGGGGCUUCGUCACCCGCUCUUGUAGGCCCGGCCGGCGCUUGCCGACACAUCAAUCUUUUUUCCAGGUUGACCUCGGAUCAGGUAGGGAUACCCGCUGAACUUAAGCAUAUCAAUAAGCGGAGGA